rnacentral:rRNA from 1 species
GCUUGUCUCAAAGAUUAAGCCAUGCAUGUUCAAGUAUAGCAAGUGUACAGUGAAACUGCGAAUGGCUCAUUAAAUCAGUUAUAAUUUAUUUGAUAGUGAAAUUGUACAUGGAUAACCGUGGCAAUUCUAGGGCUAAUACAUGCGUCAAUGGUCGGUCGACCAGUAUUUAUUAGAUACAAUCAAACGCACCAACAUAAAACCUUGGUGAUUCAUAAUAACUGUUCGGAUCGUAUGGCUUUUUGCCGACGACAGAUCAUUCAAAUUUCUGCCCUAUCAGCUUUCGACGGUACUGUAGUGGACUACCGUGGCAUUAACGGGUGACGGAGAAUUAGGGUUCGAUUCCGGAGAGGGAGCCUGAGAAAUGGCUACCACAUCCAAGGAAGGCAGCAGG